UUUAACAAAAACCUCCGAGUCUGACCGCCUAAAGGGCUUUCCUAUGGCGACAGGCCGAAGGGCGUUCCCGGAAACAGGAGCGCCUCCCGUGUUUGGAAAGGAGGAAGAGAAGGACCGGA
rnacentral:ncRNA from 2 species